rnacentral:rRNA from 1 species
CUGGCGGCAGCUUACACAUGCAAGUCGAACGGUAGCAGGAAGAAGCUUGCUUCUUUGCUGACGAGUGGCGGACGGGUGAGUAAUGCUUGGGAAUCUGGCUUAUGGAGGGGGAUAACUACUGGAAACGGUAGCUAAUACCGCGUAAUGUCUACGGACUAAAGGGUGGGACCAUUUGGCCACCUGCCAUAAGAUGAGCCCAAGUGGGAUUAGGUAGUCGGUGAGGUAACGGCUCACCAAGCCCGCGAUCUCUAGCUGGUCUGAGAGGAUGACCAGCCACACUGGAACUGAGACACGGUCCAGACUCCUACGGGAGGCAGCAGUGGGGAAUAUUGCACAAUGGGGGGAACCCUGAUGCAGCCAUGCCGCGUGAAUGAAGAAGGCCUUCGGGUUGUAAAGUUCUUUCGGUGACGGGGAAGGCGAUUGUUUUAAUAGAACAAUCGAUUGACGUUAAUCACAGAAGAAGCACCGGCUAACUCCGUGCCAGCAGCCGCGGUAAU